GAUGAACGCUAGCGGCGUGCCUAAUACAUGCAAGUCGAGCGAACAGACGAGGAGCUUGCUCCUCUGACGUUAGCGGCGGACGGGUGAGUAACACGUGGAUAACCUACCUAUAAGACUGGGAUAACUUCGGGAAACCGGAGCUAAUACCGGAUAAUAUAUUGAACCGCAUGGUUCAAUAGUGAAAGACGGUUUUGCUGUCACUUAUAGAUGGAUCCGCGCCGCAUUAGCUAGUUGGUAAGGUAACGGCUUACCAAGGCAACGAUGCGUAGCCGACUUGAGAGGGUGAUCGGCCACACUGGAACUGAGACACGGUCCAGACUCCUACGGGAGGCAGCAGUAGGGAAUCUUCCGCAAUGGGCGAAAGCCUGACGGAGCAACGCCGCGUGAGUGAUGAAGGUCUUCGGAUCGUAAAACUCUGUUAUUAGGGAAGAACAAAUGUGUAAGUAACUAUGCACGUCUUGACGGUACCUAAUCAGAAAGCCACGGCUAACUACGUG
rnacentral:rRNA from 1 species